GCCCGUAGCUCAACUGGUUAGAGCCGACCGCUCAUAACGGUCUGGUUGCAGGUUCGAGUCCUGCCGGGC
rnacentral:tRNA from 1 species